CUUAUCUCUGUACGAAACUCGUAUAUAUACAGCCAGAGCAUUCAGCUCACCCUUCCCGUUCUCUGCAACAUAGCGUGGCGUAUAGCCAAAGUGUAGCUGACAGAGCUAAAAGCGUUUUCCACUAUCUUGACGCCAACAAGGACAGUACAUUGGUGCUGGAAGAACUGGAAGCCUACUUUAAUACUGUAGAUAUCGACGGUGAUGGCAAAAUCUCGAAGAGCAAUUUCCUGACACAAUACCAUGGAGACAAUAUUGUGGCAGAAAAGGAGUUCACCAAAUUCGAUGCCAACAGUGAUGGAACUAUAACCUCGGACGAUGUGAAGCUAAUUUUCAACCAGUUGGACGUUGACAACGAUGGCAAAGUGACUCAGGGGGAGUUUCAGGCUAAGUAUCCUACGGUUCUGUGGACUCAAAACAACACCCCUGUUGGAAAAUAAUCGAGUCCUGUAGCACGUUCUCCUUGAAUAAAACACUAAAAAAGA